AUACGUAGGGGGCGAGCGUUGUCCGGAAUGAUUGGGCGUAAAGGGCGCGUAGGCGGCGCGGUAAGUCUGGAGUGAAAGUCCUGCUUUCAAGGUGGGAAUUGCUUUGGAUACUGCCGCGCUUGAGUGCAGGAGAGGUUAUCGGAAUUCCCGGUGUAGCGGUGAAAUGCGUAGAGAUCGGGAGGAACACCAGUGGCGAAGGCGGGUAACUGGACUGCAACUGACGCUGAGGCGCGAAAGUGUGGGGAGCAAACAGGAUUAGAUACCCUGGUAGUCCACACUGUAAACGAUGAAUGCUAGGUGUAGGGGGUAUCGACCCCUUCUGUGCCGCAGUCAACACAAUAAGCAUUCCGCCUGGGGAGUACGGCCGCAAGGUUGAAACUCAAAGGAAUUG
rnacentral:rRNA from 1 species